rnacentral:lncRNA from 1 species
AAACACCAUCCUACUGAUUACAUUAAGGCUCAAGCUCGAAAGAUGAUCUUUCAAAACGAUUUGGGUGCCAGAUGAUUCGUACAACCUUUUGAGAAACAAAUUCAUCUCUUCUCUUCGGAUAUACUGGUAUGAUUCUAGACGUUUCGCAUUGAAAAGCUCUGUUAGGCAUAUUUUUCGUGCCUGACGCCAGUAUGGACCGUAGGGAGACCAUGUAAUAUCAGAGUAAUUGUAAGUAGUGUAUUUGCCAGCAGCGGUUUUAGGCCGGUCGGUGAAGAUGACAUCGUUGGUUUUCAACACGGCUUUGGCCAUUUCAACUGAUGAAGCAACGACGACGGGGAAUGACCCGAAUUUGAGUUGCAUGAUGGGACCAUAUUUUCGGGAGAGAGCAUGGAUGGACUGGUG